GACGAACGCUGGCGGCGUGCUUAACACAUGCAAGUCGAACGAAGAGCGAUGGAAGCUUGCUUCUAUCAAUCUUAGUGGCGAACGGGUGAGUAACGCGUAAUCAACCUGCCCUUCAGAGGGGGACAACAGUUGGAAACGACUGCUAAUACCGCAUACGAUCUAACCUCGGCAUCGAGGAUAGAUGAAAGGUGGCCUCUACAUGUAAGCUAUCACUGAAGGAGGGGAUUGCGUCUGAUUAGCUAGUUGGAGGGGUAACGGCCCACCAAGGCGAUGAUCAGUAGCCGGUCUGAGAGGAGGAACGGCCACAUUGGGACUGAGACACGGCCCAGACUCCUACGGGAGGCAGCAGUGGGGAAUCUUCCGCAAUGGACGAAAGUCUGACGGAGCAACGCCGCGUGAGUGAUGACGGCCUUCGGGUUGUAAAGCUCUGUUAAUCGGGACGAAAGGCCUUCUUGCGAAUAGUGAGAAGGAUUGACGGUACCGGAAUAGAAAGCCACGGCUAACUACGUG
rnacentral:rRNA from 1 species